UACAGCCAUAUCACGUUGAUACACCGGUUCUCGUACGAUCACCGAAGUUAAGCAACGCCGAGUUUGGUCAGUACUUUGACGGGUGACUGCUUUGGAAUACCAUGUUCUGUA